GCUCUGAUAGUAUAACCAAUUACAUUGGUUUUGUAAACCAAAAAUGAAGAACAAAUCUUCUCAGAGCA
rnacentral:tRNA from 1 species